AUCAGUCUGUCGAAGUUUUAAUACGCCUUCCCUGUAAAUAUGUUCAAAAUCCUCGCAGUGCAAAUAUAAUUGCUAAAGUCUCCAGCUCAAAACUGUGGUAGUUCGCUUCCGCAUCCGAUUUAUGCUUGGAAAAACAGAAUAUGCUAUACCAUUUUCCAUCUUGUUUCCUUUGUCUCUAUACAGCUCCAAAUCCCAAAGCAUCGUUAACUUUAUAAUCAUAAAUUUAUAACACCACUGCGCAGGCGCUACACCCAAUCUAUGGUAACCAUAAACAGGUGAUAUAUCCACGAAGUUUUUAGAAUUUAAAGUGGGCUUUCGGGGUCAUGGUCUGGUAGAAAAAAAUGGACGUAAAUGGGCCUACUGUACAAACUAGUAAUUUUAAAGGAUCAAACAGUUCGGUAAAGCAAUGUGAUAAGACCCAUAAGUGAGAUAUUUUUAUAUUUUAAGGGGAACCUCGUCAGAAAGACGAUGAACACACAGCAUCCGAAGCUGUCAAGGAAGUCAAAGAUGAGAAUAAAACGGAAUUAACAAAUUCAUUGUUUAGUGGAAUUUCUCUACUCCCGUUCAUUGAACGGAAAGAAGAAAGUUAGGAAUGAAAUACCUACAUCAAAUCUUUCUUGGAAUUCUGCGAAACCACAAUCGACUUGUCUCGUAAAUAUAUGUUUACUAUUCUCGUAAUUCAGAGCCGACCAUUCUUCUUACAAAAAUUGACUAAGCAGAUUUGUCUUUUUUAUACCAUGUGUUACGGAACUGGUUUCCCUGGGUCCAGUCCCAUUCUUGCCCCGCAGUCCUACCUACCAUGAGACGAUCACCUACUCGUCUCCCACAUUUUGGUAAUUUGAUGGCCUGCAUCCGCCUGUGCCGGCUAUUGUACCAACUCUCCCCAUCAUCGAAAAUUUAGCCGGACAUUUCUCUCUUCAGGAUAUCUCUAAGCUGCUAUAUAUAAAUUGUGAGGCGGCUAAUGAGACCAGCCACCCC